rnacentral:tRNA from 3 species
GGGGCCGUAGUCUAGCCUGGCUAGGAUGCGCGGUUCGGGUCCGCGUGACCCCGGGUUCAAAUCCCGGCGGCCCCA